GACGAACGCUGGCGGCGUGCUUAACACAUGCAAGUCGAACGGGCCCGCUCUCUUUUUUGGGGGUGGGUUGAGUGGCGAACGGGUGAGUAUCACGUGAGUAACCUGCCCCCUGCUCCUGGAUAACUGCUUGAAAGGGCGGCUAAUACGGGGUGUGCCGGCUGGUCCGCAUGGGCCUGGUCGGGAUAGUUUCAUCUUCGGGUGUUUCGGUGGGGGAUGGGCUCGCGGCCUAUCAGCUUGUUGGUGGGGUGAUGGCCCACCAAGGCGGUGACGGGUAGCCGGCCUGAGAGGGUGGGCGGCCACACUGGGACUGAGACACGGCCCAGACUCCGGCGGGAGGCAGCAGUGGGGGGUAUCGCACAAUGGGCGGAAGCCUGAUGCAGCGACGUCGCGUGAGGGAUGGAGGCCUUCGGGUUGUGAACCUCUUUCUCCGGUGGUGAAGGCCCUGUCCGUUGCGGCGGGGUUGACGGUAGCCGGGUAUGAAGCGCCGGCUAACUACGUG
rnacentral:rRNA from 1 species